GCCUACGGCCAGACUACUCUAACCACGCCUGAUCUCGUCUGAUCUCGUGAAUCUAAGCAGAGUCCAGGCCUGGUUAGCCGUAAGCU
rnacentral:rRNA from 1 species